rnacentral:rRNA from 1 species
GCUUGCUUCUCUUGAGAGCGGCGGACGGGUGAGUAAUGCCUAGGAAUCUGCCUGGUAGUGGGGGAUAACGUUCGGAAACGGACGCUAAUACCGCAUACGUCCUACGGGAGAAAGCAGGGGACCUUCGGGCCUUGCGCUAUCAGAUGAGCCUAGGUCGGAUUAGCUAGUUGGUGAGGUAAUGGCUCACCAAGGCGACGAUCCGUAACUGGUCUGAGAGGAUGAUCAGUCACACUGGAACUGAGACACGGUCCAGACUCCUACGGGAGGCAGCAGUGGGGAAUAUUGGACAAUGGGCGAAAGCCUGAUCCAGCCAUGCCGCGUGUGUGAAGAAGGUCUUCGGAUUGUAAAGCACUUUAAGUUGGGAGGAAGGGCAUUAACCUAAUACGUUAGUGUUUUGACGUUACCGACAGAAUAAGCACCGGCUAACUCUGUGCCAGCAGCCGCGGUAAUACAGAGGGUGCAAGCGUUAAUCGGAAUUACUGGGCGUAAAGCGCGCGUAGGUGGUUUGUUAAGUUGGAUGUGAAAUCCCCGGGCUCAACCUGGGAACUGCAUUCAAAACUGACUGACUAGAGUAUGGUAGAGGGUGGUGGAAUUUCCUGUGUAGCGGUGAAAUGCGUAGAUAUAGGAAGGAACACCAGUGGCGAAGGCGACCACCUGGACUAAUACUGACACUGAGGUGCGAAAGCGUGGGGAGCAAACAGGAUUAGAUACCCUGGUAGUCCACGCCGUAAACGAUGUCAACUAGCCGUUGGAAGCCUUGAGCUUUUAGUGGCGCAGCUAACGCAUUAAGUUGACCGCCUGGGGAGUACGGCCGCAAGGUUAAAACUCAAAUGAAUUGACGGGGGCCCGCACAAGCGGUGGAGCAUGUGG